GGUCAAGCGAAUAAGCGCACACGGUGGAUGCCUUGGCGGUCAGAGGCGAUGAAGGACGUGGCAGCCUGCGAAAAGUAUCGGGGAGCUGGCAACAAGCUUUGAUCCGGUAAUGUCCGAAUGGGGAAACCCACCCGCUUGCGGGUAUCCUGCAGUGAAUACAUAGCUGCUGGAAGCGAACCUGGUGAACUGAAAUAUCUAAGUAACCAGAGGAAAAGAAAUCAACCGAGAUUCCGUAAGUAGCGACGAGCGAACGCGGACUAGCCCUUAAGCUGAUUUGGUUCUAGGAAAAUGCUCUGGAAAGAGCAGCCAUAGAAGGUGAUAGCCCUGUAUCUGAAAGGGCCAUUUCAGUGAAGACGAGUAGGGCGGGGCACGUGAAACCCUGUCUGAACAUGGGGGGACCAUCCUCCAAGGCUAAAUACUACUGACCGACCGAUAGUGAACCAGUACCGUGAGGGAAAGGCGAAAAGAACCCCGGAGAGGGGAGUGAAAUAGAUCCUGAAACCGUGUGCGUACAAGCAGUAGGAGCUCCGCAAGGAGUGACUGCGUACCUUUUGUAUAAUGGGUCAGCGACUUACUGUUCGUGGCAAGCUUAACCGUAUAGGGGAGGCGAAGGGAAACCGAGUCUGAUAAGGGCGCAUAGUCGCGGGCAGUAGACCCGAAACCGGGUGAUCUAGUCAUGGCCAGGGUGAAGGUGCCGUAACAGGUACUGGAGGCCCGAACCCACGUCUGUUGCAAAAGACGGGGAUGAGCUGUGAUUAGGAGUGAAAAGCUAAUCGAACCCGGAGAUAGCUGGUUCUCCUCGAAAGCUAUUUAGGUAGCGCCUCAUAUGUAUCCUCUCGGGGGUAGAGCACUGUUAUGGCUAGGGGGUCAUCGCGACUUACCAAACCAUUGCAAACUCCGAAUACCGAGACGGACUGUAUGGGAGACACACGGCGGGUGCUAACGUCCGUCGUGAAAAGGGAAACAACCCAGACCCACAGCUAAGGUCCCAAAUUCACUGCUAAGUGGAAAACCAUGUGGAAAGGCACAGACAGCCAGGAGGUUGGCUUAGAAGCAGCCACCCUUUAAAGAAAGCGUAAUAGCUCACUGGUCGAGUCGGUCUGCGGGGAAGAUUUAACGGGGCUAAGCAGUGAACCGAAGCUUGGGGUGCAUCACUUUGUGAUGCGCGGUAGAGGAGCGUUCCGUAAGCCGUUGAAGGUGGAUUGAGAAGUCUGCUGGAGGUAUCGGAAGUGCGAAUGCUGACAUGAGUAACGAUAAUGCGGGUGAAAAACCCGCACGCCGAAAGCCCAAGGUUUCCUUGCGCAACGUUAAUCGGCGCAGGGUGAGUCGGCCCCUAAGGCGAGGACGAAAGUCGUAGUCGAUGGGAAGCAGGUUAAUAUUCCUGCACCUCGCGUAAGUGCGAUGGAGGGACGGAGAAGGUUAGGUGUACCAGGCGUUGGUUGUCCUGGGGAAAGGCGGUAGGUUUGGAUCUUUGGCAAAUCCGGGAUCCUUUAAGACCGAGCACCGAGACGAGCCUUUAUGGCGAAGUCACUGAUACCACGCUUCCAGGAAAAGCUCCUAAGCUUCAGCUUACGCAGACCGUACCGUAAACCGACACAGGUGGGUAGGAUGAGAAUUCUCAGGCGCUUGAGAGAACUCGGGUGAAGGAACUAGGCAACAUGGCACCGUAACUUCGGGAGAAGGUGCACCCUUUUUGGUGGCUCGUGCGAGCUAUAGCUGAAGAGGGUCGCAGUAACCAGGCCGCUGCGACUGUUUAUCAAAAACACAGCACUCUGCAAACACGAAAGUGGACGUAUAGGGUGUGACGCCUGCCCGGUGCUGGAAGGUUAAUUGAUGGGGUCAGCCGCAAGGCGAAGCUCUUGAUCGAAGCCCCAGUAAACGGCGGCCGUAACUAUAACGGUCCUAAGGUAGCGAAAUUCCUUGUCGGGUAAGUUCCGACCUGCACGAAUGGCGUAACGACAGCGGCGCUGUCUCCACCCGAGACUCAGUGAAAUUGAAAUCGCUGUGAAGAUGCAGCGUUCCCGUGGCAAGACGGAAAGACCCCGUGAACCUUUACUAUAGCUUUACACUGAACGUUGAGUUCGUCUGUGUAGGAUAGGUGGGAGGCUAUGAAACUGUGGCGCUAGCUGCAGCGGAGCCAUCCUUGAAAUACCACCCUGUCGUGCUUGACGUUCUAACCUGGGCCCAUUAUCUGGGUCGGGGACCGUGUAUGGUGGGUAGUUUGACUGGGGCGGUCUCCUCCUAAAGAGUAACGGAGGAGCUCGAAGGUACGCUCAGCGCGGUCGGACAUCGCGCACUGUGUGCAAAGGCAUAAGCGUGCUUGACUGCAAGAUCGACGGAUCAAGCAGGUAGGAAACUAGGACUUAGUGAUCCGGUGGUUCUGUAUGGAAGGGCCAUCGCUCAACGGAUAAAAGGUACUCCGGGGAUAACAGGCUGAUACCGCCCAAGAGUUCAUAUCGACGGCGGUGUUUGGCACCUCGAUGUCGGCUCAUCACAUCCUGGGGCUGUAGUCGGUCCCAAGGGUAUGGCUGUUCGCCAUUUAAAGUGGUACGCGAGCUGGGUUCAGAACGUCGUGAGACAGUUCGGUCCCUAUCUGCCAUGGGCGUUGGAGAUUUGAGAGGGGCUGCUCCUAGUACGAGAGGACCGGAGUGGACGAACCUCUGGUGUUCCGGUUGUCACGCCAGUGGCAUUGCCGGGUAGCUAUGUUCGGAAGCGAUAACCGCUGAAAGCAUCUAAGCGGGAAGCGCGCCUCAAGAUGAGAUCUCCCGGGGCACAAGCCCCCUGAAGGAACCAUAUAGACUAUGUGGUUGAUAGGUCAGGUGUGUAAGUACAGCAAUGUAUUGAGCUAACUGAUACUAAUGAUCCGUGUGGCUUGACCAU
rnacentral:rRNA from 1 species